GUGAGGAAUAUUGGACAAUGGGCGCAAGCCUGAUCCAGCCAUGCCGCGUGCAGGAAGACGCAUCUAUGGUGUGUAAACUGCUUUUGUACGGGAAGAAACACUCCCUCGUGAGGGAGCUUGACGGUACCGUAAGAAUAAGGAUCGGCUAACUCCGUGCCAGCAGCCGCGGUAAUACGGAGGAUCCAAGCGUUAUCCGGAAUCAUUGGGUUUAAAGGGUCCGUAGGCGGUUUAAUAAGUCAGUGGUGAUAGCCCAUCGCUCAACGAUGGAACGGCCAUUGAUACUGUUAGACUUGAAUUACAAGGAAGUAACUAGAAUAUGUAGUGUAGCGGUGAAAUGCUUAGAUAUUACAUGGAAUACCAAUUGCGAAGGCAGGUUACUACUUGUGGAUUGACGCUGAUGGACGAAAGCGUGGGGAGCGAACAGGAUUAGAAACCCUUGUAGUCC
rnacentral:rRNA from 1 species